CUCUGUGGCCAUAACACCUGAAGGUGUCCGAUCUGGUCUGAUCUUGGAAGCUAAGCAGGGUCGGGCCUGGUUAGUACUUGGAUGCGAGACCACCCGGGGAACACCGGUGCAGCCAUAGGCU
rnacentral:rRNA from 1 species